rnacentral:rRNA from 1 species
UACGAGGGGGGCUAGCGUUGCUCGGAAUUACUGGGCGUAAAGGGCGCGUAGGCGGAUACUUAAGUCGGGGGUGAAAGCCCGGGGCUCAACCUCGGAAUUGCCUUCGAUACUGGGUAUCUUGAGUUCGGGAGAGGUGAGUGGAAUGCCAAGUGUAGAGGUGAAAUUCGUAGAUAUUCGGCGGAACACCAGUGGCGAAGGCGACUCACUGGCCCGAUACUGACGCUGAUGCGCGAAAGCGUGGGGAUCAAACAGG